rnacentral:rRNA from 1 species
GACGUAGGGCGCGAGCGUUGUCCGGAUUUAUUGGGCGUAAAGAGCGUGUAGGCGGCCUGAAAGGUCAGCUGUGAAAACUCGAGGCUCAACCUCGAGACGUCGGUUGAAACCGUAUGGCUAGAGUCCGGAAGAGGAGAGUGGAAUUCCCGGUGUAGCGGUGAAAUGCGCAGAUAUUGGGAAGAACACCGGUGGCGAAGGCGGCUCUCUGGACCGAUACUGACGCUGAGGCGCGAAAGCGUGGGGAGCAAACAGG